rnacentral:RNase_P_RNA from 1 species
AAAACAGUCCGGAUUGUCGCUGCCCGCAAGGGGAGAGGAAAGUCCGGGCAACACAGAGCCACCAUACUUCCUAACGGGAAGGCGUCCGCGAGGGCGACAGACAGUGCCACAGAAAACAAACCGCCGCCGGGCAACCGCCGGUAAGGGUGAAAACGCGAGGUAAGAGCUCACGCUUGGCUUAGCGAUAAGUCCAAGGGUAAACCUUAUGGGUUGAAAGAUCAAAUAUACCGUAUGUCAAGGCGGGCUCGGCCGAUGACGGGGGGUAGAUCGAUGGAGGCGCGGAGCGAUCCGCGUCCUAGAUAAAUGACAAUCGCCGGAUGUCCGUCAUCCGGUACAGAACCCGGCUUACAGGGCUGUUUUUCUU